rnacentral:rRNA from 1 species
AUUGAACGCUGGCGGCAGGCCUAACACAUGCAAGUCGAGCGGAUGAAGGGAGCUUGCUCCUGGAUUCAGCGGCGGACGGGUGAGUAAUGCCUAGGAAUCUGCCUGGUAGUGGGGGAUAACGUCCGGAAACGGGCGCUAAUACCGCAUACGUCCUGAGGGAGAAAGUGGGGGAUCUUCGGACCUCACGCUAUCAGAUGAGCCUAGGUCGGAUUAGCUAGUUGGUGGGGUAAAGGCCUACCAAGGCGACGAUCCGUAACUGGUCUGAGAGGAUGAUCAGUCACACUGGAACUGAGACACGGUCCAGACUCCUACGGGAGGCAGCAGUGGGGAAUAUUGGACAAUGGGCGAAAGCCUGAUCCAGCCAUGCCGCGUGUGUGAAGAAGGUCUGCGGAUUGUAAAGCACUUUAAGUUGGGAGGAAGGGCAGUAAGUUAAGACCUGGCUGUUUUGACGUUACCAACAGAAUAAGCACCGGCUAACUUCGU